rnacentral:lncRNA from 1 species
AUUAUAAACCAGAUUUUCCGGCGUGUUGGAGGAAACUUCUUACGGUUUUUAACAGAUGGCAACUGUUCAGGUGUCAACCGGGAUUUCAAAAAGCGAUUUUUCAAUACGAUUUUGGGCAAUGUCGUGAAAUGAUUUAAUGAACGCGCUUAGAAGAUGUGUCAAAGUGGUCUGGACCAAUUUCGCGGUUUUUUCACUUUCUUUAAGAAUUUUCUUGAAAUUAUUUCAAAAAUUUAAAUUAGUUUUCUCAGUUUGUGAGGAUUAUUUAAAUAAUUAUCAAUUUUUAAUUAUUUUUCCGGGAUUUUAAUGUGCUGGUUACACGCUCAAAUUCCCAUCAAUUUCCGAUCAAAUGGUGACUGGUGCGCACCAUCUACCAUCAAAUUUCUGCGGCCUGCAGAAAUUUGAUGGUAGAUGAUGGAACUGUGGGGCUCAUCCCUCGUCUAAUUUCCACACAACCGGGCUUAUUUCAUGCUUAUUUCAAUCAACACGCUGUUUUAAUUAAUUUUACUCAUCAAUCUCGAUAACUCUCGACCGCCAUCUUGGUCAUCAUUUUGAUCGGAAUUUGACGGGAAGAGCGUGUAACCAGGCCAUAAUGAUUUGUGGAUACUUGAUUUUUCGCUUGAUUGAGUGUGUUGAUCACUUUAGCAGUCACAUAUUAUAUAUCAUCAGUAGUCGGAAUAUUUUGGGAAAAAUAAAACCAGUCAUUCUGUGCAAAACGAUGGUCAGGUCUUCUUUACAGAAAUAUAAACAUAAGGCAGGAGAUAGGCUCUGACAUGCGUGCGGUGAUUAUAUAUGUACGGGCUCUGAUACUUUCAUCAUCGUUUAAAUAAUUUUCAUCGCAGCAAUUCUCUUCUUAUUCAACCUAUCUGUCCUUCAUAGUGGAAAACACCUACAACUACACCAAAACCGGUAACCCUGACACCCUUGAUAUCGUGGAAUCACCCGUUUACUCAGCGUCCAAUCAUCUCGUGCAGAGCGCCGAAACCUGCUGUUCAUCCAGGCUUGACUGGUUUUUUUUGCACGAAUUCUUCAUUCAUGCAAAUUCCAACCCGCUCAUUCGCUUAACGCUGACAACAUUGCAAAAACGGGAAGAACCUUUUUGCCAAACCGAAAAAAAAAACAGCCAGUUGAAUGUCAGUCAGUCAGUCAGUUAGUCACAAUGAACUGGGACACGAAAGUAUGCGCAUAGCUCGAACUGCACACAUGCAAUUGCGAUUCCCUCCUACAAAAAAAAAUUGAAAAAAGAGUUAUUUUUUCAAAUUAAUGUAUACGUAUAUCCUCGCCUUCCAAGAUGUGUUAAUUAUGUUCUUCCGGAAGCACAUUUUUGUUCGCACAUUACAUAACCCACUCUAAUGAAGUUUCCAAAAUUUCAGAGCAUAUGUUUUCUCGUCAGAAACGUAAAACAAGUUGAAUAAAUGUUGAGAAUUUUUAAAGUUAGCUCGAUUAUAAGAGGUAAGCAUUCACUGCGUACUUAAAAAUUACGUCCUACCUUUUAGUGUUUCAAUAAUUUUUUAGCCUCGUUUACCCAUAUUUUAAUUAAAUCUCCUUCUUUAUUCGUAUAUUCGGGCUAUGUUUUUUGUGCUUAAAAAUUAGUGAAUUCAAAUCAACUGCCCAAAAAAACAAGAAAGGCAACGCAGGUUAAAACAAUUAUUGAAAUCGGAUUUACAUAGCGGUAAAUAAUUAAUUUAUUUCAAGUUUAACAAAACUUCCUUGAACUGAUGCACAGCCCUAGUAAUUUUUAAGAAAAUUUCAGCAGGACGAGAAAAUUAUUUGAUCCUUAAACGCUGUCAGAUUUUUUCAGUUGCUAAUUUGUUCCAGUGGCGUGGCGUGAAUGAUCGAUUAUCGAUAUCUCGCCAUUUGUAGUUAUGGUAAAGAAUCGAUUACUAGGGUGUUCGCUGCGAACACCCUAAUAAUCGAUCUUUUUUCAUAGGUUUGAGUGGCAAAUCAAUCGAUACAUCGCAAAACACGCCACGCCACUGAUUUGUUCGAAUGGAUUUUUUUUUUUUUUUUUUUUUUUUAACUCUGAAAUCGCUUAUUUUCCGCUCGUAUCGCCAGCAUUGCCCCAAAUUUUUUGCGCCACCCAAGUAAUAAUACAUAAAUGAUUAUGAAACGCUGAUUGUAGGCCACUGCAGUGAGCGUCACGUUUCUCCAAGGCUUGUAUUAAGUCUUGGGAUGUGUAGAAAAUCUCCAUUGAGAUCUCUGGGGUGAAAAUUAACCGUCUUUGCAACGUCAGUGUCGCCCCACCAGUUUUUUUCGUCGCCCAAGCACUCCUCAGAAAACCUGUAUAAAAAGCGACUCAGAGGAAGUUUCAUCCCGCAAUAUAAAAUCCGACACGGCUCCGAUCGUGCAAAUUAUGAGGUUACAAAAAUCGGUAGAAAGGGAUACUAUUUUACUGAAGAUUCAAUAUCACGGAAAAAAUUAUAUUGCUGAUUUAACAAUCAAUUGCUAAAAAAAAGACUGCAAUGUUUCAAUGUAGAUUUUACAAGAAAAAAAUGCAACUCUAACCACCCUCGUGGUUGAAUUAGCUUACAAUAAUGGUUAAAGUAGCAUUUUUUUGUUGUAAAAUCUACGUUGAAACGUUGCAAUCAUUGUUUUUAGCAAUUGAAUUGUUAAAUCAGAAAUUUAAUUUUUCUGUGAUAAGUACAGCUCUCUUGCAGAAUAAUGCGGACUUGCUGCUUUUUUGUUGUGAUUUCAAGUUCAUUUGAGGGAUGUAGGUACUAAUGAACCACAAAAUCGAUUUUUCGAUUUUUUUUAAAAUUUUCUUAUUGUUCAGGGAUUAAUUUUUUCUCUUUUUUUUUCUUUUUUUUUAACCCUAGAGUAAGUUUUUGGACACAUUUGGUCUUGGUGGACCCUGAGAAUGUAAGCAAGGUUUUUGCCUAUCUCAUAGUUAGUUGAAUCAACUUUCUUGGAGGGGUGAAAGGGAAUGUUUUUGGUUAAGAUGUAAUUCGCGUCAAUUCCUCGAACGGAUUUCUUACCCAAAAUUUUUUUGAGGGUUUUAUGUUUUAACUGAUAUAAACUAGAUUGGCAGACUUUUGAGGGAAACUCGAUUUCGAUAAUUUGGGCGUUUAAGUUCUCAUCAAUAACGCAAUAGAGCUAUCCGUCUGUAUUCGUGUCUCUGAUCCGAAUCGCGCCGAUCUCAUCUCGAUGUGUUAUUGAGGUAGGUCAGGUGCGCAGCACCCACUGCAUCUACCCGUUUUUUAAACAGGAAUUCGUUGUACCGUGAAAGAGGUCUUUUCUUGUCCCGCGCGGAGAUAAUUGUGGGACCGGCACAUCUCGUGAUCUCUUAUUUUUCUCAGGUUUUCCUCAUACCGUUUUUGUUUCAAAUCCGAAUUCUUGUGGCACACGAAGUGAUUGCGCCAUCACUUUUUCAAAAGAACUCUCACAAAAGAAGAUUGCAUGCAACAUCAGAUGGAUCCCGCAAAAAAGACCGGUACUUACCUUGAGUGGCACUUUUUGAAAGCUCGAACCGCCUCUGCCUCUACAUAUUUUCGCAGGUUUUCCUUAUCCGAUGGGACAAAAAAUCCAGGAAGCUAAUAGAUCAAAAGUGCAUGCUCACUGGUGAUGCCAUGAAAACAAGAAUCGUUGGGAUGUACAAAUUCUAUCUUCAGUGUGACAACUUUUGAUCCAAUACCAAGUAAAAGUUAUUAACAAA